rnacentral:rRNA from 2 species
UCCCAAACCCAAUGUGAACCAUACCAAACUGUUGCCUCGGCGGGGUCACGCCCCGGGUGCGUCGCAGCCCCGGAACCAGGCGCCCGCCGGAGGGACCAACCAAACUCUUUUCUGUAGUCCCCUCGCGGACGUUAUUUCUUACAGCUCUGAGCAAAAAUUCAAAAUGAAUCAAAACUUUCAACAACGGAUCUCUUGGUUCUGGCAUCGAUGAAGAACGCAGCGAAAUGCGAUAAGUAAUGUGAAUUGCAGAAUUCAGUGAAUCAUCGAAUCUUUGAACGCACAUUGCGCCCGCCAGUAUUCUGGCGGGCAUGCCUGUCCGAGCGUCAUUUCAACCCUCGAACCCCUCCGGGGGGUCGGCGUUGGGGAUCGGGAACCCCUAAGACGGGAUCCCGGCCCCGAAAUACAGUGGCGGUCUCGCCGCAGCCUCUCCUGCGCAGUAGUUUGCACAACUCGCACCGGGAGCGCGGCGCGUCCACGUCCGUAAAACACCCAACUUCUGAAAUGUUGACCUCGGAUCAGGUAGGAAUACCCGCUGAACUUAAGCAUAUCAAUA